AUCCACAGAUGAGUCCUAAAUAGGACGAAAUGCGCAUCCUGGAU
rnacentral:hammerhead_ribozyme from 1 species